UGUUGGAGAAGUCUGACAGGAAUCUGAUUGCUGGAGAAGUUUAUCUGAAAUUUGUAUGAUGUAGAAGCUUGUCUGAAGAAUUGUCUAUUGGAGAGGCUCGAUUGCACAAGGAAUCCGACUGAAGGUCGGCCGAUAGAAGAGUCCGAAAGGCGUUAUGGAAGUUCAUCCGCUGGAGGGGUCUGGAGGAUCCUGUGGAAGUCCGGUUGGCGUUGUUGAAGGUUGAUGGCUGGAGAGGUAUGGAAGGCACUGGAGGCGAUUGGCCGUUGUAGAAAUCCAGCUGCUAGAGCCCAUCCGCUGUAGAAGUUCAUCCGAAAUCCAUCUGCUAUGGAAGUUCAGAUGGAGUCUGAUUCUUGUAGAAGUCCGGAUGGAGACUGCUUAUCGAAGAAGCUCGACUGAAGUCUUCCUAUAAUAGAAGUUCGG
rnacentral:lncRNA from 1 species